UACGUAGGGCGCAAGCGUUGUCCGGAAUUUAUUGGGCGUAAAGAGCUCGUAGGCGGCUUGUCACGUCGGGGUGUGAAAGCCCCGGGGCUUAACCCCGGGUCUGCAUUCGAUACGGGCUAGCUAGAGUGUGGUAGGGGAGAUCGAAUUCCUGGUGUAGCGGUGAAAUGCGCAGAUAUCAGGAGGAACACCGGUGGCGAAGGCGGAUCUCUGGGCCAUUACUGACGCUGAGGAGCGAAAGCGUGGGGAGCGAACAGG
rnacentral:rRNA from 1 species